UUCAGUCAUUUUGAUUUCCUACUUCAGUCAUUUUGAUUUCCUACUUCAGUCAUUUUGAUUUCUACUUCAGUCAUUUUGAUUUCCUACUUCAGUCAUAUUGAUUUCUACUUCAGUCAUUUUGAUUUCCUACUUCAGUCAUUUUGAUUUCUACUUCAGUCAUUUUGAUUUCCUACUUCAGUCAUUUUGAUUUCCUACUUCAGUCAUUUUGAUAUCUACUUCAGUCAUUUUGAUUUCCUACUUCAGUCAUUUUGAAAUCCUACUUCAGUCAUUUUGAUAUGCUACUUCAGUCAUUUUGAUUUCUACUUCAGUCAUUUUGAUUUCCUACUUCAGUCAUUUUGAUAUGCUACUUCAGUCAUUUUGAUUUCUACUUCAGUCAUUUUGAUUUCCUACUUCAGUCAUUUUGAUUUCUACUUCAGUCAUUUUGAUUUCCUACUUCAGUCAUUUUGAUAUCCUACUUCAGUCAUUUUGAUAUCCUACGUCAGCCAUUGUCUUUUGAAAGCCACGAGAGUAUCUGUAGUGGUAUAACGGUGUCUUUACGUAGCUACAGACUCCAGCUCCAUGAACGUGUAAGGUUUUAGUAGCCAGAAAAGCAGUGUGGGUAAUACAGGUCACUCUAUCCUCAAUGUGACUCACGCUGUCCAUUUAAAAUAAUUAUGAAUGGACUGUGUCAGCCCCAGACGUUUCUCCCACAUCCCAUACUACUAUGACUGGUUGUGUAUGUAUGUACGUUUCUAUUUUUGUAUCCGUAUGUGUGUGUGUUCAUGCUGUACCACUCAUGCACAUGUGUAUUGUGUGUGUGCAUGUGCACAUAUGUGUGUGUACACAAGUGUGGUAGUCUUAACAGAAGACCAUAUAGAGCGUAGUUUGGGUGCAGCUCUGGGAUGAGUCACAUGCCCUCCUCUGACUAAGUUCCCAACUAUGUGAUUCUGGGAGAAGGCUCAGCCCCAUCCGAACCCUAGCCCAAACCAACCACUGGGGAAGAGAGGGGUAGGAGGAGGGCAGGGAGGGAAGGGUGUUGUAGUCAGGAGGAAGAGGAUACGAAGGGCUAAGGUAAGGCAGGGAACACCCAGUGGUGAGGGGUAGGGUCUGAGAGGAAAGGAGGGUAGGGCUGGGCUGGGCGAGGACCAGUCGGCAGGUAGGGUAUGGAGAGAUGGGGCAGGGGUUGAAAGUAGGAAAAUUAGGUAUAGGUUAAACUAGGGAGUAAAGGACGGGUAGAGUGUGGGGGUUGGAAACUUUUUGAAACGGAAAGUUUGUAACUUUAAACAUAUAAACAGAAAUGAUUACUUUUAACAUUUGCAACUUUUAACAUUGAGUCGGAAUGUUUGUAACUUUUAACAUUAAAACGACUUCAUACAAGGAGUGUCAUACUGCACAUGCACUGUUCUGGUCAGGUGUCUCUAUACAUCUGCUGAUUGGUUGAGCUACCAGCGUGAUCAGGGAUUUGUAUUGGAGUGGCAGUUUCUGAGCCUCUUCCUGUACUCUUGGUAACAGAGUAAGGAAAGUUAUGGUUGUGAGAAGGUUGCAUGGAGGUGAGUACCGGCUGAUGAAGAUGUUUUUCUCUGUCGUUCUCUCUACUGGACAUCCAAGCUUCUGUCUUGUACAUGUCAUCAGUGCUGUGGUGUCUGAUCGCUCAGCUUAUCUUCCUGUUUCUCAGGUGUCUCAGCGGAGACUGACUGUAAGUCCAGGUACUUUCUCUGUGGUGUAGACUAGAGACAGUUCAGCGGGGACCAUUGCGAUGGGAUAGAAGUGGAGGGUUACAGUUUUGCCUAUGAGAGACAUUUGGGAUAUACAGGACUCUCACUGUUUGUUUCAAUCAAUCAUUCAUUCAGUCAAUCAACAAAUCAAUGUGUACAUCUCGCAGAUGAUAGCGGUACUAGAAUCUGUGUGUUCAGUGCUGUCUGUCGUUUCCCUAUUUUACAGGCUUUUCUACAGACGCCCGACACUUUGGUAGGGGAGUUUCCUGCUUUUAAAGACCCGAGGCGAACACACACACACACACACACACACACACACACACAGAGAGAGACACAGUGCACUACUGAAGCUGCCUCUGCCGCUGCCCGACAUUUCUUUCCUCUCCCCUCAUCCUCUCUCCUCCUCUCCUCCCUCUCUUCCUUUCUUUUUUUCUGAAUGGGUGUCCUCUCUCUAACCUCUCAAUUGAGAGGAGUGUAACCGGACAAUGCCCUUCACAGAGAUAGGCUCCGCCCCUUUCAGCCAGGCUCAUAGACUAUAAGAGCACAGAGACUCGGCUCGGAGUGUGUGUAACAGAGAGUGUGUGUGUCUGUCUGCGUCAGAGGGACGGAGGGAGAAGGAGAGCAGGGGAGCCAGAGAGGGAGAGAAAGAGAGGGAGGUAGGCACAGAAAGAGAGGAGGACAGAGAGAGAGAGAGACUGAGGGAGAAGGAGAGUCUUAGUGCUGUGUAACAUAUGAUAGUAGUUUCUCUCGGCAGGGCCGGGCUGUGAGAGCGUGGUCGGCAGCGGUGUCUCGAGUGUGCUGGGAAAGCACCUUUAUCCCAGAGGGACUCAUACACACAGAGAGAGAGAGAGAGAGAGAGAGAGAGAGAGAGAGAGAGAGAGAGAAAGAGAGUGUGUCGGCUUCAGCACAGCACAGCGCUGUCACUUUAAGCCUGUUACUGAUUACACUCAGUAACAGAAUGCAACUGGAGUAGAAAAAAAUACUGACAGAGAAAGAAGGAAAGAAAGAAAGAAAGAAAGAAAGAAAGAAAGAAAGAAAGAAAGAAAGAAAGAAAGAAAGAAAGAAAGAAAGAAAGAAAGAAAGAAAGAAAGAAAGAAAGAUGUAAGGACAGAUUCUUUUGAAUUUGGUUUAGUUUAGUUUCACAGAAACUGUGAAGUUGUGGAAGGGUGAGAGACAAUUAUCUCUCUCUCUCUCUCUCUCUCUCUCUCUCUCUCUAUUCCUGAGAGUGGCAAACUGGAGGGGAACCCCAGAUUAUCUGCUAGAGAGAGAGCGGGGACAGAGAAAAAGAGGAGGAAGAAGAGGGAAACAGACAGAGAGACAGACAUACCGAGACAGUGAGAGUCAUAGAGAAUGAGAAGGGGACCUUUCAAACCUGGUAAGAGGCUUCCAGACGUCAGGAGGAAAUGCUCCGAGAGGGUGUCCUGAGUGGACCAAGCCGCGGUCACCAGGGUGACCAUGCUCACCACAGCACUGUGCUGUCAGCCGCCCUGCUGACCUUUCAACUACCACCAGACAUCAGCUGUUCUAAUUCUAACAUCUGUCUACAGAAUGGACCCAAUGAUCAUAUGAGGAUGAAGACCAUGAUGAAGGCAAUGCAAAUUCAUCAACGUGGAUCCUUUAUCUAUAUCUGCAGCCCCCCCCGCCUGUAUUUGUG